AGAUUCAUUAAAGCCCAAAAGCCCAAAAUUCCUUAGGUGGCCGGCCAUAUGGUGAUGAAUUAGGGUUUUGGUUGUUUAGGUCACUUAAAGAAGUGACUAUAUAAAGGACUUUAUAGCCAAAUAUUAAAAAAUGUGAUUAAGGGUUUAUUUUGGGUGAAAAUGGGUGAGAAUUGUCUCUCCAUUUUCUCUCUAAAGAAGCUAA
rnacentral:lncRNA from 1 species